rnacentral:rRNA from 1 species
AGCCUUAAGAAAAUUGAUUUAAGGUUAUACCUGCCCUAUGUACUUUGGUAUAAAUGGCCGCGGUACUUUGACCGUGCUAAGGUAGCGCAAUCAAUUGGCUCUUAAUUGGGGUCAGGAAUGAAUGGAGUUUACGGGGUUCAUCUGUCUCCUAGUUAAUUAGUUGAAGUUACUAUAUAGGUGAAAAAGCCUAUGUAAAGAAAAAGGACGAGAAGACCCUUAGAGUUUUACUUAAUCUGAUAAUUAUAGAAGUAGUUAAUCAUAAUAGUUUUGUUGGGGCAACACAGGAGCAGUAAAAUCAAAUAAUAAUCUCCUAAAGUAUAACAAACCGAUAAUUUUAAAAAUGAAUAAACUACCUUAGGGAUAACAGCAUUAUUUUAUUGAUAAGUUUGUGACCUCGAUGUUGGACUAGGAAAUCUGAAGGCUAGCCGUUUUCAGAAAUGGUUCUGUUCGAACUUUUUCUCCU